GAUGAACGCUAGCUACAGGCUUAACACAAGCAAGUCGAGGGGUCUCGAAGGAGCUUGCUCCCAAGAGACGACCGGCGCACGGGUGAGUAACGCGUAUCCAACCUGCCCUUCAUAUUGGGAUAGCCUUCCGAAAGGAAGAUUAAUACCGAAUAACAUACGAGUUUUGCAUGAAUCUUGUAUGAAAGCUCCGGCGAUGAAGGAUGGGGAUGCGUUCCAUUAGGUAGUAGGCGGGGUAACGGCCCACCUAGCCGACGAUGGAUAGGGGUUCUGAGAGGAAGGUCCCCCACACUGGAACUGAGACACGGGCCAGACUCCUACGGGAGGCAGCAGUGAGGAAUAUUGGUCAAUGGGCGCAAGCCUGAACCAGCCAAGUAGCGUGAAGGAUGACUGCCCUAUGGGUUGUAAACUUCUUUUAUACGGGAACAAACCCCGGUACGUGUACCGGAUUGCGUGUACCGUAUGAAUAAGCAUCGGCUAACUCCGUGCCAGCCGCCGCGGUAAAAC
rnacentral:rRNA from 1 species